UGUGUUGGAGUCUUCCAGUUCCAGGAAGGGACAGUGGUCAUGCCAUAUCUCUUCACUAUCCUCAGCUCUCUACAGGGAGCUCUGCUGUUCAUCAUGCACUGCCUACUGAACAAAACGGUGAGAGAGGAGUAUGGCAAGCUCCUGUCCUGUAUCUGCACACCACAGAAGAAGAGAAACUCAGAGAUCAGCACUACCAACCCUUCCUCCAGCCACUCCCAGGGGUCAGGGAGUGCCCAAAACACUGGGGAGUCGCAGAUAUGAUGACAUCACCAAUCCCCCACAAUGCACCUCUUUACUCCCCCUCCCUUUUCAGGCCUGGUUAGUAAAAAUGUGCCCUAUCUAGAACCUAAAA